UACAGAGGGGGCGAGCGUUGUUCGGAAUUACUGGGCGUAAAGGGCGCGUAGGCGGCCUGCUAAGUCGAACGUGAAAUCCCUGGGCUCAACCCAGGAACUGCGUCCGAUACUGGAUGGCUUGGAUCCGGAAGAGGGAUGCGGAAUUCCAGGUGUAGCGGUGAAAUGCGUAGAUAUCUGGAGGAACACCGGUGGCGAAGGCGGCAUCCUGGACCGGCAUUGACGCUGAGGCGCGAAAGCUAGGGGAGCAAACGGG
rnacentral:rRNA from 1 species